AUAAAUAGCUGCCAACGCUUUUCUUCGUUUGGUUAUAUCGAUCCAUAUUUCACACAAAAAUGAACUUGUGUUUAAUUAUUUGUGCUCUGCUUUUACCCGCAUUUUGCAGCGGCAGAGGAUAUUAUCUCCAACAUGCUGAAUCGCAAUUAUACAUAAGCAAAUAUGGCUUUAAAUUGGUGAAGACUCAAGAUGAGGCAGGCGUUUACAUUUUUAGCGCAAAGUAUUUCAUCAGCCUGACUAACAUGCGAGAUGUGUCCGUAAGAGGUGGAUGUAAU